GACGAACGCUGGCGGCGUGCUUAACACAUGCAAGUCGAACGAGGCCCCUCCUUCGGGAGGGUGUCCUAGUGGCGAACGGGUGAGUAACACGUGGGCAACCUGCCCCCGGCUCGGGGAUAACCCCAAGAAAUUGGGGCUAAUACCGGAUAUUCCCCGCUGACCGCAUGGUCGGUGGUGGAAAGAUUUAUCGGCUGGGGAUGGGCCCGCGGCCUAUCAGCUUGUUGGUGGGGUAGUGGCCUACCAAGGCGACGACGGGUAGCCGGCCUGAGAGGGUGACCGGCCACACUGGGACUGAGACACGGCCCAGACUCCUACGGGAGGCAGCAGUGGGGAAUAUUGCGCAAUGGGCGGAAGCCUGACGCAGCGACGCCGCGUGGGGGAUGACGGCCUUCGGGUUGUAAACCUCUUUCAGCAGGGACGAAGCGCAAGUGACGGUACCUGCAGAAGAAGCACCGGCCAACUACGUGCCAGCCGCCGCGGUAACAC
rnacentral:rRNA from 1 species